GCAUCUGUGAAGUAGUAGUUAACUUGCUCCCCUCCCACACAUUGGUAUAGUUGUUAAGGGAGAUACCCGGGUGCAAAUCCCGGUAGGUGCA